AUGUUAAAUGAAAAGUAUUUGUAACAGAUUGUUAAGAAGUGAAGCCCUUUAAUUAUAACAUCAAGAAACCGUCGCUAAGCGCGCCGUGUGUCCUUGGGCCGAGCAAUAAGGUGAGGCUGCAAAAAUCCAUGUGCUCUAAUGAGCCCAAAUAAAGCCAAACAAAAAAAGUCAGCUAAAACUAUUUCAGAACAUAUACGGCCAGGCGAUUUUUGCGUAAACUCUCAAGAAUCGCCUCGCGGCAUGACAUAAUUUUGCCUAAUUUACCAGCGUAUUCCAAGGACCCAGCCAGGACAACGGCACACAGGCACAGCGCGCAGCACGUGACAAACAAAAAAUAGAAGAAAUGCAACAAAC